CGCGAGCUGCAGACCUUGGGGUACCAAAGCAGUCUUUGGACUUAUUUAUUCAGCUCCUUUUUCUUUUCUGGACGGACUGCGAAACAGGAUCUGAUCCCUUCAGCACUCUGGUACGAAAGGUCCACAGCUCUUCUGGAGAGAAAGAGAGAUCUAUGCUGUUCCUCUGCUAUAAUUAUGACAUCAUGAAGCCCGGAGAACCUCAGGCUCCUUUCCCCAAGUGUCCUGGAAAUGCUGAGAAUGGAGAUGGAACCCCAAUUUCUCCGCCAACUCAGAGGCCAUUGCUUAGGCUGCCCUGGGAGACUUGCUUGUCUUUGAAACCAUGAGCCUCUUAUGGACAAGAGAAGCCCUGUGUUUGUGUUGGUUUGGUGGGAGGGGAAGAUGGUGGGAACCCACACAUGUGGCUGAAAAGUGCUGUGACAUCUGAAAACCUUGAGAAAGCUCUCAAAAUCUGUUACAAAAGGGGUGGUGGAAAGUUCUGGACAUUUGACUUAAGAGAAAAGAUCUGGGGCAUCUGAUAGGGUAUUUCAAAUAUUUGAGGGAUAAAUUAGGCAUGUUCUUCAAAGUAUCGGCAGGAAGAGCAAGGGAGAAGUUGUAAAAAGUUACAUAAUUUUUUCCUGUUUUUCUUUUAAUCAGCACGAGCUUUAACACAAUGGAACCAGCUUAUUCUUGAGGUAGUGAGUUUCCUGUCUCUGGAUGUAUUUAAGCAAAGACUGAACAGUCACCUAGCAGGCAUGUUGUUGACUGGACUUUUCAUGGGGUGGAGGCAUAGACUCGAUGGCCUCUUCCAACUUUGAGAGUCCUUAAACCUCUGAUAUCCCCUUUGCUUGUAUGAGUCAGUGCCUAAAUGUCCACCACUGCAGAAGGCAAAUCUCUCUCUUUCUCAAAUUACUCUUGAGGGAGCAAAUGCUAACAAUUCUCACUGGAGUGUUAAUGCCUCAAAAGGUUUUCUCUUCUGAAAGUGGUCAUGAUUAGGGGAGCUUGGCUGGGCUUCAGCUCACUCCUAGCUCAGUCAACUCUUCCAAAUUAGCUAACCGUCUCAGUGAAGCCAGUGUGGUUACUCUGCAGGCCAGCUUUAAGACAAAUUCUCUAGUUCUGAAAAACAGAUUCCCAAGGCCUCUGAUGCAAUACUGAUUCAAUAGGUCUGAGGUAGGAUUAUAAAAAUGUUUCCAGGUGAUUCUGAGGGUCAGCCUGAUUUGGGAACACUUUGCUAAGCUUUGCCUCAACCCAAUGCCCAAGGAGCAAGUGGGAGGAUUAUUCUGACCUCAGUCUGUCAAGCUUGUAGAUUUCCAUGGGAUGCUCUUGUUCUGAUCCAGGUAUUUGCCCAUCCCUGGAGAGCUGCCUCUGUCUUCUGCUCCAAUGAGUCCCAGACCCACUGGCCACUGGCAUCUUACCUUUCUCAUGGUGUUUGAUGGCCAGCACUCUUCCAUCCUGACUACAUUCCUCCUCCACCUUCCUCACCCAGGCUGUACCUUUUUGGACUCCUCAUUUCAAUAGGUGCUAUAACCCCCAUGAGGAGGGCUAAACUUUUUCAACUAUUUAUGCAUAAUUUUCACCUGGGAUUUGAACCCAAUGUUCGUGUUUCACUAUAUGGUCCUGGUUUGUUUGUGUAUCCUCCCACCAGACCCUACCGUCCUUUAUUUCCUCAGGGGCCGGAACUGUACCUUUCUUCUUAGGAUUUUCCACGUCUAGCACAAAACUAGGUACAAACCAUGUACCUAGGAAAGAAGGAAGGAGGGAGGGUGGAUAUGCUUGUUCCAAGGAUUAUAUCUAGUUUCAACAAAGAUUGCUUGAGUAUUGUGCAGAAAUGCAAGUGACAGACACAGUUGGGAGUGGGGCUGGACAUGUGUGUGAAAUGUGUAGGGAGUAGGGACUCUGAGCGUUACUAAUUUUUUCUGUCUUAUCAGGGUUAAGGCACCAUUGUGCUGAGAGCACAACUCACCACUGUCGCCUGCCCUCAGCCUCUCCCAACGUAAGUUUUCAAGUUUUUCUACUGCUCCUCAUAAAGAUAGCCAGCUAUCCUGCCUGCACAGUUUUCUAAAGUCAGUCACUGACACUUUUUUUUUUAGCAAAAACCACGAGUACCUCGAGACAAAUACAUUAUGGAGACAACUGUCAUCACAACCACAUGUGGUAUUAUUUACUCAAGUCAGUUUGAAUGAUUAAUGUGGAAAAGUGGCCGGGCAGCUAAUGAGAUUGAGGGCCGUGUAGAACAAUUUCUAUGUGAUUUUAAACAAUGCCCACUCUGUCCGUGGAGAGUCACAGAAACAUGAAUAGCUGGCGCGGCUGCCUCCUCUCUCUGCUGACUCCCUGUCUCAGCUGGGUCCUCCCAGCACACUCCCUACUCCCAGAGACUCCAAAUUUUCCAUCUGCAGCCAAGGAAGAGAAAGCAAGGACCCUUUCUAUUUCAGCAGCCUGGAGCUGUGGGCAGUGGCGGCCAUCUGGCUGACGUCAUUGGUGACUCCUCAGACAGCCAGAGGACAGAUGAGACUUAGGGGGCCUUGCGAGAGAGUGAGGAUUGUUGGCCGCUCUUUGCCUUCUUUAAUGAGUGGCUGCGUAGACAAGGUUAUAAACCAAAUGAUGCUUCAUUCUUCAGAGAAACAGCAUGGAAGUGGAAGAGUUUGAAAAAGAACAAGGUGCUACAAACAAGUCAGGAAUUUGUUCUGCAGGCCUGUCAAGUCUAUAAAUAUCUAGAAUCCUGCUUACCAAGUAUUGGUGUGAGGUAUGUCUCCAGGGUUGAUGAUGAAACCGAUGCUCACAGAGUUGAAAUAAGCUGCUGAAGGUCAUGCAGUGACAAUGGGAAGAAGGAAAUAACCUGAGAGAGUGCACACCAAUCAUUUCAACGGCAAAAUCCAAAAGUGGCACACAUCGUUUCAGAUCCCAUCCCAUUGGUUGGGACAUAGUCACUGGUUUCACAUAGCUGCAAGAAAGGAUGGAAAAUGAAGUCGUUACCUGGACAGCUGAGCUAUGUGCUCAGCUAAAACUGAGAAAAGGGAUUUGGGGGCACAAUUAGCAAUCUGCCACAGCCUCCAAUGAAGGUCUUGGAAUCCAGAAGGUUGGCAAUCCAGAAGAGCAUUGUACAGCUGCCCCUUCAUUCUAUAAUUCCUGUCUCACUCAACUUUGAGCCUUUGAGAUGUCAGCAUUGGAAACGUUAGAGUCAGAUAGUGAAAGCUUUGCUAAUUUGACAAGGAAUGAAGGUUCAUUAAACUUCUAAAUGUGGCAUUUUUAUAGGUUAUGGCCAAACUGAAGUUGGCCAAGCGUGAAUAUCAUUAGCUGCAGUUUUGUUUGUACUCCAUAGUAUGUUGUUCCUCUCUCUCUCUCUCUCCCUCCCUCUCCUUAUCUACAUUUUCUUUCUGUUUUUGGGACUCUCCUUUUUGCAUCGAUAGGUACUCAAGAAAAAAAUUCAGGGUUUCAGUUGGAAAAAACAAGUUUUAAAGUAGAAUUUUCAACAAGACGCCUAAUGAACGGUGGUCUAUUCGCACAGCUGAACACCCUACUCACAAAUCUCUUUCUCUUAUAGAUUUGUGAGGAACAGGAGGUUAUAUUCUCUGCAUGGGAUUUUGCUUCUGGGCUAGGGUUGACUGCAAGUUUAUUGGAAUGAGCACUACGUUUUGUUUUGUUUUCACCAUAAGGGACUUCUGCAAGGAGCCCCAGUGCUCAUCACGUGCUGUGAGGAAAAUGGAGAGAGUUUGCAGAACAGUUCUCUCCCUUCAUUCAAAAUUAGGUUCAAGCUGAGAACCGCUGGUGAUUUUUCAAGUCCUGUUUUGGAUGAAAUAAGCAGACAUGUUUGAAUUAAUUAAUGUUGUAAGGCGACUCUUAGCACUGAGACUGAGCUAGUGCCUGAUAGAAGGAGCGCUGAGCCAGGAAUCACAAAACCCCUGUCCUAGCCUUGGCAUCGCCACCAACUCCUUGUGGGACCAUGAACAAAUCGCCAACAUUUCUGUGCCUUCGUUCCCCACUUACAUAAAUACAGAGAUAUUUGCACUUCUAGAAGAAGAAUGGUUGUGUCGAUACUCUGGUGUGACUUUGUUAUGAUAACACAGGAAGACUGAGGUGCAGUGGGCCCUUGCGAAUCAUCCUCCCCUCCAUGAACCAGGUGGAAUAGACCAUUCCCUUCUCAGAGACCCCUGGACCCUACAUCCUAGUACCCUAUACUAUAAGUCCUGCAAUAUUUGGUGGCUUAUAUUUUAUUUAUGGGUCUGCUUUCCCAUGGGCUUCUUAAAGAGUGUGCAUUUCUCAUUUGAUCGCUACAGUGCCUACUACUGUGGUUGGCACUUGAUAUUGGAUAAAUGAAUGAAAUAAAGCACACCCAAAGUUAGAUGGCUGGUCAGGGGCUGGUUAGUGGCUGGUUAGGGCUGGGUCAAGUCUGGUUACUCCCAGACCAGUCUUUUGCAUAUUUGACCUCUCCCUACUCUCAAGAAUAAGGGUGAAAUAGGACAUCAAACGUAAGAAGUGCUCACGCUCUGGAGAUUCUGGUGCAGGAGAGGAGUGGUUUCCUCUGCUCAGGCUUGUUCUGCUAUUUCAGCCUCUUGGUCCUUAAUGACGGUUUAUUCUCAUAGCACACUUCUCUCUCUCUUUUACCUCAAGAAUCUCUGCUUGGGAUAGAGGUGGGCAGAGGUUGGGCAGAGGUGCCUCAAGCCAAACCAAGGAGGAAGAUAUUGCACUGGGGCUCAGAGUACUUCAGAGGAGCUUUUGAUGUCGAAAUCCAAAGCGCACGAUAUCUGCUCUCCAGGGUGAGGGCUAACAUCAUCUCUCCAAGAUGAGGCUUGCAGCAGCUGCCCUAAGAAGGCAGAAUGUCUCACACCCUCGGAAUUAGACACUAGACACCAAGAGGCCUAUGGCUGGGGCUGUCUCUCAGGUCUUCACCUGACACUGCUCUGUCUGCUUAAGAAUGGGCUCCAUGGGGGCCGGCCCAUGGCUGAGUGGUUAAAGUUCCUCACACUCUGCUUCUGCAGCCCAGGUUCCCGGGUUCAGAUCCCAGGUGCAGACCUACUCCACUCA